rnacentral:tRNA from 1 species
GAGGCCCUAGCUUAAUUAAAGUAUCUGGGUUGCAUUCAGAGGAUGCGGGGUAGAAUCCUGCGGGUCUUA